UAGUAAAAAUUACAUCCAUUUGUACUAUUAAAAACUGGCAUGAUUAACAAAAUAAUCAAAUAAUGACACGUCUUCCUCAUGCUAAUGUACAAGGAUCAGUUUUUUAUGGCAAAAAAUGAUGAUUUUUUUAACA
rnacentral:pre_miRNA from 1 species